GGCCCCAUCGUCUAGUGGUUAGGACAUCAGGUUUUCAUCCUGGCAAGCGGAGUUCGAUUCUCCGUGGGGUCA
rnacentral:tRNA from 1 species